GCGCCUGUGGCUCAAAGGAGUAGGGCGCUGGCCCUAUAUGCCAGAGAUGGUGGGUUCAAACCCAGCCCUGGCCA
rfam:Otolemur garnettii contig080559, whole genome shotgun sequence.